UUGGAUAUAAAUAAUUUUAAAAAAAUUGGCAUUUGGAUUUUGGCCAUUCACUUAACUUCUUCUUUUUACAAUAGAAAAACAUCAAAUAAAAAUAUAUGAUCAACUCCAACAAGGUUACAUUGCUAUUGGAUAGUGAAAAUGGCCCCUCAAUAGUUAAUGGGAACUUUGUCUACCAUGAAAUGGACUUGAAACAUAUAGCUAUUGGCUCCAUUUGCAACAUGGCCAUAAUAUCAAGUAGUUACAUUUGCAACUACUCUUGUACCACACAUAUCAACUUACUCUUUAGCCAUUACUGAAAUACAACUAAGAUGAAGCUGAUUAUAACAUACAUAAAAAAUAAAAAAAAUAAAAAAGAGCUUGAAAACUAGAAGUUACUGUUUAAUGUUUGUUAUGAACCUUGUAUAUAUGUGAAAAACAAGUAUAAAUAGGACUAAAUAUAUAUUUUAGAACUCACAUUUUCAUUUUAGAGCCCACGAUAUUCAAAUUCCGAAUCUAAAUUGUUUGUUUGAUAUUCCUUCGAUCUCAAAUUAUCUGUCGUGUUUUUUUUGCAUGCUCCUUAAGAAAAUAUUAAAUAGAAUUUUUUUUGACCAUUUUAACCUUAUUAAUGUCUUAAGAUAUAGUCUCUCUUCAUUUAAUACUUGCUCAUAAUUAAAGUAUUUGUAAUCGUCAAGAACAAUUAAUAUUAAGUGUAGAAUAGGAAAAAUAAUAAUUAAUUUACUUUUGAACUUCUAAAUGACAAACAAUUUGAGACAAUAAUUUUUAGAAAUCACGACAGAUAAUUUAAGACGGAGAGAGUACUAGAAAUAUUUUCAUGGAAAAAGGGAGGAAAAAAAAGAAAGAAAUGGAAGUUAGAAUAGCAAGUUGUUAUUUAGGAGAUGUGAAAGAGUUUGCAUUGGAAUUCAAAGAAAUAAUCAUGCACAAAAAAUUUUAAGCAAAUAAUAAUAACAUGGUCAAAUUACCUUCCCCAUGACCAAAAACCAUAUCCCAAGAAACUUCCCAAAAAAUACAAAAGAGCACCCAUCUUUCCUGCACCAAAGCAGCAAAAAUUCAGGCAUGCAGAAUGCAGGCAUACAAAAUGAAUAAUGCAUGUGCAAGAAAGAAGAAACAAGAACAAGUGGCUAAUAUAAACUCCAAAUUAUAUAUUUACAUAAAUUAGUACUAUUGAUGUCUCUUUUCCUCUAGCUUUAUUGUUUGGACUCUCCAAAAAUAUUAUCAUGCACUUGUUUGAUUUCCCAAAAGUAGUAUACAUGUUUAGAGAAUCCGUCGUAGACGUGACAACUUUAAAGAGUCUACACACAGGGCAAAGCUAGGUAGGCAAAAGGGUGUUCAGCCUUCAUCAAAAAUUACUGGUAGGCAAAAGGGUGUUCAGCCUUCAUCAAAAAUUACUGGUAGGCAAAAGGGUGUUCAGCCUUCAUUAAAAAUUAUAUUGUGUAUAUAAGAUUAAUUUUAUAUUUUAUGUAUGUAUACAACAUAAACUCUGGCUUGUGUGGCAUCUUUUCAUGGACAAAAGAGGUUCAAACAGUACUAAGAUAGGCAAAUCAAACAUAAGAGAUUAUGUUUGAUCCAAUAUACUAAAUUCUUUUCAUCUUCCACCAUAAAUAAACAAAAGGUGUUAUAGGUGUCUAAUCAUAACUUUUCAACCCUAUCUUUUUGUCCACAUGCAAAAUUACACUUACCUAUUAAACAAACACAAUACAAACCUUCUUGACUUGGUUAAUUAGCUGGUAGCUGUCUCCAAUUAAUAAUUUAAUUGCAUGUUGAUCCCAUAUGUUUAACUUUAAACCAACAGUGUCUGAAUAAUUGAAGAGCUUGACCCUCUAAAAGUAAAGCAAACAAAUACCAAUAAACUAACGUAAAAUUUUAAGCACUAACCUAGAAUCUUACAGCAAAUAAAGGAAGAUUACAACUUUUUCUUUUCUUUACUUUUUAGGAUAACAACUUUAAUAAUGAGAAUUAUUGGAACAUAAUAAGAAAUUACAAAACUCUCCAGAAAAUAUCACUGCUGGCUUGUUCAUUGCUUUGAAUGUAUUCAUUAUCAACUUCUGUAAUUCCAGCUAUGUUAAAACUAGAUCCUGCAAAAUAAUAAAUAAAUAAAUCCAAAUUUUUGUGUUACUUUAAUGUUAAUUAUAAUUCAGUACAGAUGUGUCCGACCUGGCUAAAAAAAUGGACCAAGCAACUUAAAUUAAACAAAAACAAUAGUAUAUAAAAUAUUUAUUAAAAUGUUCUUUAUUCCAUCCAAAGAACAGGCAACAACUGUUGGUCUGAUAUAAAGGAUGUCAGCCUUAACAAGACAAAACAAUAUAGUAUAUGUUCCUUGCUACAUAGUUGUCUUUGCCAUUGUAAGGAAAAAAAAGGACCAUAAUAUUUCUUUUCUUUUAGCAAUUUUAAUUCUUCUGCAAGAUUUUGACUUCGCUUGUUUCUUUCCCUAGGUGAAAAAUCAAAAAAGAAGAGUGUACAUUUGCUUGGUUAAAUUUGCUAGCCUAGUCCAGUCUGGUCUGACAUCCAUGAAUGCACACACUAUUUCUUUUUUCACUUUGGCCGGACUAAUUCAGAUUCAGAUUGGACUAUUAUUUACUUGACUCACCUAAUUCAGAUUCAUAUUGAGUAACCUACUCAGAGGCGGAGCUAGCCCAUCGACUAAGAGUUCGGCCGAACCCAAUUGUUUAUGUCCAAACCAUAUAUUUGUCUUACGAUAAAUGAAUAUGUAUAAAUUACUAUUAUUUUAGAACCCAAUAAUAAUAAUUUAAUUAAAAGGACAAAAACUCUUUUAACUCUUUAAGCUCUAAAUCUUGGCUCCACCUUUGGACCUACUAAUAGUAAGUCCACUAAUGGAGUAAAGUACUCUCCCACUUGAAAGUUUUUCUACUCUCAGGGUUCGAAGACAGUUUUAAUUAAGGGCGGAGAGAUAUCAACCAUCUCACUACACUCUUCGAUCAGGUGGUUGCAUAAACAAUUUCCCUACAUUAUGCUUUACUUAGUCCAUAUAAAUGGCCUCUAAUGUGGGCAUAAAACAUAGUUGGCUAGCAAGAUUCCAAAUGAGAGGGCAAUGCCUUGUGGUCCAAAUAAACAUUCAAUAGUAGCACAUUCUUGAUCACAUAAUUCACAAGCUAUGAGGUGAAAUGGUGGUCAUGCAUUUCCCUUUAUCUUAGCCUAUAAAAGAAAAGAGGUGGAAAAUAAAUAAGCUCAAGAAGAGUACUAAAAAUUAGAUCACAUUAGAAAGUUAGAUACUAUAUAGUAGUAUAUACUAGUAUAUAUAUAGUGCCCAAGCAAGCAAGAAACCAUGAAUUUAAUGUAGGAAUAAGACUAUUGACUAAGAAAUAGGAUUUUGUAUGUAAAACUAUUGCCAAUUAAAUUGAAAGGUAUAGAAAUUGCUUUCCACAACAUAGUGAUUCUAAAUGUCAUGUGUAUAACCCCAUGUAUUCUCUUUUUAUUUAUCUAAGUCCUAUACCCCAUUUUGGAUCUUGCUUUUCAAGAACAAUAAGCCAGAGAUCCUGUGAUGGGUGCGAACAACAACAACAAUAGCAUUUAAGUAUAAUCUCACAAGCGAAAUCUGGUGAGGAUAGUAUAUUUGCAAUUUUACCCUGCCCUUGUGUUGGCAGAGAGGCUAUUUCCGACGAACCCUAAUCUCAAAGCAAGCCUCAAGGCUCAAGGCUUAAAAAAGAUAAUAUUCAGGAUUAGAAUUAACAUGUGCAAGAACUCAAGGCUCCAAUUACAAUUUAAAAAGCGAAUUAAAGCUGUGCUUUAUAUAGAAUAAUUUAUAGCAAUUUAUAGUCAUAAACUCAUACAAUAAGAUCUUAAUCCAAGAAUUGUAUCACAUAAGUACUAAAAACUGAGAAGGAAAUGAAGAUAAAUAUCAAGGACAUCCAAAUUUUGAUCACCAAAAACCAAAUUUGUUGUAAAUCAGUAAAUCCCAAACAUAUAUUGCCACAGAAAAAUUAUCUGUAUAGAUCAAACCCAUCCAGACACACAACACAUAGAAAUAAAAUCAGAGAAAUAUCCCCUGAAAAAGAACCUUAAACAGUAGAUCAUUAUGAACACCUUUUAAUUUCCUGCAAAACAAUAAUAAUCACAAUAAUAACUUGUCAGUAAUAACAGUAAAAAAAAUUCUUUCUAUAUAUAGAAAGUUCACCAAAAAACAAACAUGGAUCUAACCAUGCAUCAAUAUAAAGAAAAUCAAAAUCUGUAACUGAAAAUUCAGGAAUUGUAAUUUCUUGACACUAUCUGUAUCUUCCCACAACUUUAUUGAACCGCAACAAUUUUUUUUUUUAUUUUCACCUCCAAUAAUGAUAAUUGGUUAUAUAUGGUGUGAAUUUUCUAAUAUAUAUGCAGUUCAAGAAAGCUGUGGAAAAAUACAAAG
rnacentral:lncRNA from 1 species